AUUGAACGCUGGCGGCAUGCCUUACACAUGCAAGUCGAACGGCAGCACGGGAGCAAUCCUGAUGGCGAGUGGCGAACGGGUGAGUAAUAUAUAGGAACGUGCCCAGUAGUGGGGGAUAAAUGCCCGAAAGAGCAGCUAAUACCGCAUACGACCUGAGGGUGAAAGGGGGGGAUCGCAAGACCUCUCGCUAUUGGACCGGCCGAUAUCAGAUUAGCUAGUUGGUGGGGUAAAGGCCUACCAAGGCAACGAUAUGUAGUUGGUCUGAGAGGACGUGCAGCCACACUGGGACUGAGACACGGACCAGACUCCUACGGGAGGCAGCAGUUGGGAAUUUCGGACAAGGGGCGCAAGCCUGAGCCAGCAAUGCCGCGUGCAGGAAGAAGGCCUUCGGGUUGGAAACUGCUUUUGUCAGGGAAGAAAUCCUCUAGGUUAAUACCCUUGGGGGGAUGACGAUACCUGAAGAAUAAGCACCGGCUAACUACGUGCCAGCAGCCGCCGUAACAC
rnacentral:rRNA from 1 species